rnacentral:rRNA from 1 species
UACGAGGGGUGCGAGCGUUAUUCGGAAUUAUUGGGCGUAAAGGGUGCGUAGGCGGUUUUUUAAGUCUGUUGUUUAAUACUCCGGCUCAACUGGAGAAAAGCGAUAGAUACUGGAAAACUAGAGAGUGGAAGAGAGAAGUGGAAUUCUCGGAGUAGCGGUAAAAUGCGUAGAUCUCGAGAGGAACACCAAUGGCGAAGGCAGCUUCUUGGUCCAUUUCUGACGCUGAUGCACGAAAGCGUGGGGAGCAAACAGG